rnacentral:rRNA from 1 species
UGGGGAAUCUUGCGCAAUGGGCGAAAGCCUGACGCAGCAACGCCGCGUGGGGGAUGAAGGCUCUCGGGUUGUAAACCCCUUUCAGCAGGGACGAUUAUGACGGUACCUGCAGAAGAAGGACCGGCCAACUACGUGCCAGCAGCCGCGGUAAUACGUAGGGUCCAAGCGUUGUCCGGAUUUAUUGGGCGUAAAGAGCUCGUAGGCGGUUCGGUAAGUCGGGUGUGAAAACCCCAGGCUCAACCUGGGGACGCCACUCGAUACUGCUGUGACUUGAGUUCGGUAGGGGAGCACGGAAUUCCUGGUGUAGCGGUGAAAUGCGCAGAUAUCAGGAGGAACACCGGUGGCGAAGGCGGUGCUCUGGGCCGAAACUGACGCUGAGGAGCGAAAGCGUGGGUAGCAAACAG